CGGUGAGGAACCUGCCUUGGAGUGGGGGAUAACACAGUGAAAAUUGUGCUAAUACCGCAUAAUGCAGUUGGGCCGCAUGGCUCUGACUGCCAAAGAUUUAUCGCUCUGAGAUGGCCUCGCGUCUGAUUAGCUAGUUGGUGGGGUAACGGCCCACCAAGGCGACGAUCAGUAGCCGGACUGAGAGGUUGGCCGGCCACAUUGGGACUGAGACACGGCCCAG
rnacentral:rRNA from 1 species